rnacentral:rRNA from 1 species
AUUGAACGCUGGCGGCAGGCCUAACACAUGCAAGUCGAGCGAGCGGCGGACGGGUGAGUAAUGUCUGGGAACCUGCCUGAUGGAGGGGGCUAACUACUGGAAACGGUAGCUAAUACCGCAUACCAUCAGAUGUGCCCAGAUGGGAUUAGCUAGUAGGUGGGGUAACGGCUCACCUAGGCGACGAUCCCUAGCUGGUUUGAGAGGAUGACCAGCCACACUGGAACUGAGACACGGUCCAGACUCCUGCGGUGGGCAGCAGUGGGGAAUAUUGCACAAUGGGCGCAAGCCUGAUACAGCCAUGCCGCGUGUAUGAAGAAGGCCUUCGGGUUGUAAAGCACUUUCAGCGGGGAGGCGUUACCCGCAGAAGAAGCACCGGCUAACUCCGUGCCAGCAGCCGCGGUAAUUC